ensembl:lncRNA
AAAUAUGGCUAAAACUCUACCUAGCCCAUACUAGCCAAUGUUUUUAGAUUUGUGGGAAGUGGUGAAUGAGUGCACACUUCAGCAGAAAUGAGAUGUUAUUGGGAUGCAUGAAGAAUAUGAAGAAUGCAAUGAAGAAUAUCCCUUGCUUGUAAUGCUGAAAUCAGUUUAGUUAACCCUGUGUUGGUGUUUCUUUCAGGGUGGAUGUCAACGGUGACCCAACUCAACGCCCUUGGUGGUCCAGAGGCAGAGAGUCAGAACAUUGUUCAGAGCUUUGCAGAGGUACUUGGUGACAAGUACCACUACGAGAAUACCAUCAACAGCUCUCUGCUCUGGACUGUUGGGUACACCCCUUACAUUCCCCCAGCUCUGAAAGGAAGAAGCUUCCCUUCUGUCGAGAGCUUCUUCCUGGAUGAGUGGGAUCCACUGACACUCCUGCAGACUCCUCAGGUUCUGUCCACCAGUGUUUCCAUCGAGGAAGACAACCUGAUCCAGUCUGCUGCAGGCCUAGUGUUUCUGGUUCUGUCCACCAGUGUUUCCAUCGUGGAGAAUGACCUGAUCCAGUCUGCUGCAGGCCUAGUGUCUCAGGUUCUGUCUACCAGUGUUUCCAUCGUGGAGAAUGACCUGAUCCAGUCUGCUGCAGGCCUAGUGUCUCAGGUUCUGUCCACCAGUGUUUCCAUCGUGGAGAAUGACCUGAUCCAGUCUGCUGCAGGCCUAGUGUCUCAGGUUCUGUCCACCAGUGUUUCCAUCGUGGAGAAUGACCUGAUCCAGUCUGCUGCAGGCCUAGUGUCUCAGGUUCUGUCCAGCAGUGACGCUAGAGUGAAGGAUCGUGAUGAUUCCACACUGAGAGACUCCAACCAACCUGAGGUCCAUGUGGCUGAUGUCUCAACCAAGAGAAGUAGACUAGUCAUCACUAUUUCUAUGUUUUCAUCCGAGAGUGGCAAUGCUUCGGUCCAUGAAGUUGAUGCUAUUGCUACCAGCCUGGAGCACUCUGCUGAGAAAAUGUCUACCUCUACCGCUAAUGGCCAUAUUGUUUCAUCCACUGCUGUAGCCAAUCAGAAGAAAACAAGGGGUGGAUUCAUCUCAUCUCUACGGAGACUGUUCACAAGAAAGAACAGGAUGCCUGCUAAAGUGGCAUCAAAGAAGGAGCACGUUCACUUGGUUGACCGCCUCAAUGCUGAAGUCACCCACUGAGGACACUCACUCACUGCUGAAGGCAUCCAGAAUGAUGCUUCUGUUUCUCCUCAACACCACCUACACCCCUGCCCCUCUCCCCCACACCAAACCCUACCAGGGUUGAGGUGAAUUCCAGAUCAAUUCAGUCAAUUCAGCAAGUCAACUGAAAUUCCAAUUCCAAUUGUUUCUCAUAGGAGGCAAUGAGGUACAUUUGAAUUGCUAUUGGAAUUUCAGUUUACUUACUGAAUUGACUGAAUUGAAAAUGAAUUGACCCCAACCCUGAUCCCUAAGCCUCCACCCCAUCCAUUUCUAUCUUCAGUAAAUUUUGUAGAAUUUUAUUUGAAGUUGUUUUGGAUCUUCAUUAAAACCACAAUACAUCUCUAAUGAGAGUCACUCAUGUUACACAUCUAGAUUUAUCAUCAAAUAUCGUAGAAUUCAACAACAAAUGCAGAAAAACUGAAAACUUUUGCUGACAUUCGGUUACAAUGUAACUACACUGAACAAAAAUAUUAGCGCAACAUGUAAAGUGUUGGUCCCAUGUUUCAUGAGCUGAAAUAAAAUCCCAGAAGUGUUCCAUAUGUACAAAAAGGUUAUUUCUCUCAAAUGUUGUGUUUACAUCCCUGUUAGUGAGCAUUUCUCCUUUGCCAAGAUAAUCCAUCCACCUACCAGGUGUGGCAUAUCAAGAAGCCUAUUAAACUGCAUGAUCAUUACACAGGUGCAUCUUGUACUGGGGAAAAGAAGAGGCCACUUUAAAAUGAGCAGUUUUGUCACACAACACAAUGCCACAGAUGUCGGAAGUUUUGAGGGAGCGUGCAAUUGGCAUGCUGACUGCGGAAAUGUUCACCAGAGCCGUUGCUAGAGAAUUCAAUGUUCAUUUCUUUACCAUAAACUGUUUCCAAUGUGGUUUUAGCGAAUUUGGCAGACCACACCAGGGGCUGAGGAGUAUUUCUGUCUGUAAUAAAGCCCAUUUGUAGGGAAAAACUCAUUCUGAU